UGUCUUGGGGUCUGAAAAUUGUUAGAGAAUUGUGGUGAAAUGUCGGGUUCAUAUUCAUAUUUUGUAACCAAGGGGAUAUUGUGAAAUGUACAGUAAUAUGUAAUAUUUAGUGUAAAUAUUACGGAGCUCGUUAACUAGGGUGCCUGUUGUGACGGCGGUUGAUGAGGUUCCCAUGUAGGCUACUCACUCAAGUGGCCGAGAGCUAGGAGCGAGGUACACGCAAGAGCUAGACUAACUGCACUGUCUUCGUGUACAGGUUCCAUUGCAAUUGCCUUCUGGAAGCAUUCUAUUGCAUUUGCCAUUUCGGCCUCACCAAACUUCAUGAGAGUCCAGGCUUUCUCUGCGUACACCUCGGGGUGCAGUGGAUCCUCCUGGGACGGAGAGGGGUGAUCCCUCAUCACAGCCUCCACCUUCUCCAGGUAGUCCUGACUCGCCUUCAUGUUGUUCAGAUGGAAGUUCAUCCAGGCUAGGUUUCCAUAGUUGACCAACAGCCAUGGGCCCUCCUCUGAGACCGUGUUGUUGAUUUGGAGAAAGGUCUCCCCUGCCUUCCUGAGAUACUGGACGGCAGAAUCGGUACAGCCCUGUCUGUAGCGUAUGAAACCCAGGAGGUUGUAGAUGUGACCCAGCCAGGUGUACCCCUCGUCAGUCUUGAUGUCUUCCAGGUGAUCUCUGAGACUACUCAGUUUUGAGAUGCUGCAGGUUAUUCCCCACGUGAAGUGGCAUUCCAGCUUUUCCAGUUUCAAUUUCAAGGCUGUCUCAGGAGUGCUGGUUGGAAAGACAAUUUAGAAAUAUGAACAUACUGUAGCCUACGUUGUGUUUUACAGAAUGUGACAGAGUGAACCAUCUUAAACAAUAUGUUAUGAAUAUCAACUGAUUUGUAAGUGUUUUUAGUAUUGUAAAGGGUCUGUUUUUAUUCUGUUUAUUUAAACUAGGCUGUAUAUUUCAUUUCGACUUAUUCUACUGCCCAUCUUGGCCAGGACACUCCUGUAAAAUAGAUUUCUAAUCCCAGAGAGGUCUUUCUGGUUAAAUAAAGGUUAUAAUAAUUAGCAAUAGUAUUGAAACGUACUUACCUCAUAGUUACGCAGUUGUCUGUUUCGAUAUCUUGCUGGUGUUAGAAUGUCUGACUGCUGAGUUGCAUUGAGUGCGUGGCUUUAUAUGUUGGAGAUGCCAUAAACCAGGAAUGUUUAGUCAGAGUUUAGACUUUGUAUUUUGUCCGUCCCUAAUCCCAUCCCAACCCUUUCUCGAGUAUGGAAACAGACAGAAGUCUUCUUACCUUGGUUUCGUUUUCGCUGUCUUGGCUGCAGUAAA